rnacentral:rRNA from 1 species
GAUGAACGCUGGCGGCGUGCUUAACACAUGCAAGUCGAACGAGAAGUGAAGACGGAAACCUUCGGGCGGAAGGCUUUAUUUCGAUUGGCGGCCGGUUGAGUAACGCGUUGUUAACCUGCCUCAUACAGGGGGAUAACAGGUGGAAACGACUGUUAAUACCGCAUAAGACCACACAACCGCAUGGUGCGGUGGUACAAACUCCGGUGGUAUGAGAUGGACCCCCUUUCGAUUAGCCAGUUGGCGGGGUAACGGCCCACCAAAGCGUCGAUCGACAGCCGAUCUGAGAGGCUGAGCCGACACACCUAGAGUGAGACACGGUCGGGACUCCUACGGGAGGCAGGAAUGGGGGAUGGUGCAAAGUGGGGGAAAUCAUGAUGCAGCGCCGCCGGGUGAGUGAAGAAGUAUUUCGGUAAGUAAAGUGCAAUUAGCAGGGAAGAAAAUGACGGUACCUGAGCAAAAAGCCCCGGCUAACUACGUG